UUUAAAGUCAAUUAGUAUAUUUAAAUUUAUAGUACUUUAAUUUUACCUUGGCUGUAGCCUAUUCUUCCUAUUUUUUACUUUAUUAUAACAUUUGAAAAUACAAAAAUUAGUUUCACUUUUAGUAUUUAGUUUUAUAUUAGUUUAUUUUAAUUAAGGUUGAUUUUUACACUUUAUAGAUACAUUAUAUUAUUUGGUCUCCUUAGCCUAAAUUCAAACCCAAAAGACAUGGUCCAACCCAAUUUCCUAAGUCCAAGCCCAUUUACCCUUUCCUCUCUUAUAUACUCCCUCUGUUUCAUAUUAUAUGAGGUAGUUUGACUCGGUACGGAGUUUAAGAAAAAAUAAGAAGGCUUUUGAAACUUGUGGUCUUAAAAGCUUAAGGUGUAAAAGGUUUAUGGGGCCAUGACAUUUAUGUGACUAUAAAAGUUUUUCAUUAAGGGUAAAUGGUAAAAUGAAAGAGUUUAAAGUUGAAUUAUUUCCAAAUUUAGAAAUGCAUCAUUUGUUUUGGAACAGACUAAAAAGGAAAGUACCUCAUUUAUUAUAAAACGGAGGGAGUACCAAUGAAAAAUAACCUAAAAAAAGACUAACACCUUGACUUAACUCUAGGGACAACCUAAAAAAAGGGCGAAAACAGAAAGGCCAGCCGUUUCCAUCGGAAGAGAAGUUUCAUCUUCUCUUUCAAAAAAAAAUGAACAGACCUAGAACCUUAGUCUUGAAGCAGCCGCGGAACCCAAGAGACCACCCCCCCUACGUCAUUCUUUUUCAACCUUCGAUCUCGCCAGAAAACGAACAACAACUAACACAUACACAACACACACAAUAAAAAUGAGACUCCAUUUCUGAAAAUCGGCAGCAACGACUUUCUUCUUCAUCAUCCUCGACUCAGCUCGCUGGAACAACCACGAACCAGACUUCCUCCUUCACCUCCAUCGCCGUCUCAACUCCACAAAAACACCACCUGAAGCCACAACAAAACAGUUCUAAAAUACAGCCAAACAACCUCCAAAAGCUCUCCAAACACGACCGAAAAUACAAGAGUUUUAGUCGAGGUUCAAAGCUCCGUCGAAGUUCUAGGUGUCAUUUUCGGUUGUGGUUACUUCACGUAAAAGUCCAGCAGAUAUCUGUUCUUGUUGAGUUGAAGAAUAUUUAGCUAUUGAAAGAUCCAGGUACUUCUACUCAGGCCUACUAUCCUUGAGGGAGACGACUACUUAGAGACUUCGAGGUACAUUUCCCACGUCUGCAGACCAAGGAGUCCCUUUCUGUUCAUGCUUUCUAGUAUUUAGCCAUUCUGUACUUUCUAUUCUUAUUAGACAAUUUCGGAGUUAGAGCUAUGUAGUAUUUCUUUUUCUUA